rnacentral:rRNA from 1 species
CAGUAGCCGCGGUAAUACGAAGGGUGCAAGCGUUAAUCGGAAUUACUGGGCGUAAAGCGUGCGUAGGCGGUGAGUUAAGUCUGUUGUGAAAGCCCCGGGCUCAACCUGGGAAUGGCAAUGGAUACUGGAAAGCUAGAGUGCGGUAGAGGGUAGUGGAAUUCCCGGUGUAGCAGUGAAAUGCGUAGAGAUCGGGAGGAACACCAGUGGCGAAGGCGGCUACCUGGACCAGCACUGACACUGAAGCACGAAAGCGUGGGGAGCAAACAGGAUUAGAGACCCGAGUAGUCCCUGUCUCUUAUAC